rnacentral:rRNA from 1 species
UACAGAGGGGGCAAGCGUUGUUCGGAAUUACUGGGCGUAAAGGGCGCGUAGGCGGCCUUCUAAGUCGAACGUGAAAUCCCCGGGCUCAACCCGGGAACUGCGUCCGAUACUGGAAGGCUUGAAUCCGGGAGAGGGAUGUGGAAUUCCAGGUGUAGCGGUGAAAUGCGUAGAUAUCUGGAGGAACACCGGUGGCGAAGGCGGCAUCCUGGACCAACACUGACACUGAGGAGCGAAAGCCAGGGGAGCAAACGGG